rnacentral:rRNA from 1 species
AUUGAACGCUGGCGGCAGGCCUAACACAUGCACGUCGAGCGAGAGGCGGACGGGUGAGUAAUGUAUGGGGACUGCCCGAUAGAGGGGGAUAACUACUGGAAACGGUAGCUAAUACCGCAUACUAUCCGAUAACCCAUAUGGGAUUAGCUAGUAGGUGAGGUAAUGGCCUACCUAGGCGACGAGCCCUAGCUGGUCUGCGAGGAUGAUCAGCCACACUGGGACUGAGACACGGCCCAGAAUCCUACGGAGGCAGCAGUGGGGAAUAUUGCGCAAUGGGCGCAAGCCUGAUGCAGCCAUGCCGCGUGUGUGAAGAAGGCCCUAGGGUUGUAAAGUACUUUCAGUAGGGAGGCGUUACCGACAGAAGAAGCACCGGCUAACUCCGUGCCAGCAGCCGCGGUAAUAC